rnacentral:rRNA from 1 species
UACGUAGGUGGCGAGCGUUGUCCGGAUUUACUGGGCGUAAAGGGCGUGCAGGCGGUUUGUUAAGUGCAGGGUGAAAGCUCCCGGCUCAACUGGGAGAGGUCCUUGCAUACUGGCAGACUUGAGGGAGGCAGAGGAAAGUGGAAUUCCCGGUGUAGUGGUGAUAUGCGUAGAUAUCGGGAGGAACACCUGUGGCGAAGGCGGCUUCCUGGGCCUUCCCUGACGCUGAGACGCGAAAGCGUGGGGAGCGAACCGG